UGGCAGCUCCUGCAGAGUCGGGGGUGCACAGGGGGUGGGGCCCUGGCGCCGAGCUGCUUCCGCUUUCUCUAAGACCGACAGAGGUGUCUGGGGCGGGGUCCUGAGCCCUGUGGCCCCGCCCUCCCGGGGUGGGCCGCUGAGAGGGUCUGGGGCCCCCACCUGCCGCUGAGCCCUGAGCUCCGGACGACCAAUCCUGUCCGUCCUUGUCCCCAGGCCCCGUGGGGUCCUGAGAAGCGGCUCCCCCGGCCUUAGGUCCUCCGGAGUCUCAUGCAGGUGACGGGGACAGGAAGCCAGGUGCAGUGUCCGUCCCACCCUGGGCAGCCCCUUCACAGAGAGCCCACGGCCGUGUCCCUGGGAGAUGUCCUCUGGGCCUGCAGCCAGGCAGGCGGGGGCCAGCGAGAGGCUCCUGAACAAAGACCAGACGGCAACCUCGCGGCACCCCUUCCUGCGCAGCGCCCGGGCUGGCGGUGACCUUGGUGCCUGGCCAGCGGCGUGGGGCGGAGGAGCCUUCAGGGACGCCCUGGUCACCUUGCAGAGCCGUGCGCUCAGAGCAGUCGGGGCAGGUGGGGGCGCGGGGAGACGGCACCAAGGUGACCCCUCGGCUCAGCCCUGGGCUGGUCUGGACACUCAGGGCCCCUGCCGUUGUCCACCCGGGCAAAAGGGCGGGGGCCUUCUGUGGCCGGCUCCCCAGGACAGUGGCUUCUCGCUGCCUGUCCCCUACCUGCUGCUCACUCUGGGGCACCUGUGUGCACUCUGUCAGCCCAUUUUGCAGUCCAGCAUAGAGGCCCGGGGUCCCGAGGGUGGACGGCCAAGCUGGGCCUGGAAGCUCACUCGGCUGUGGCCGGUCACUCUGCCCGUCCAGGCUCUGACCGGCCCUGCACCUGCAGGGAGGAGGCCUCAGCCCAGGAGCUGGGGUCUGAGCAGCCAGGCUGCUGGUGGGGGGAGCCAAGGAGUGCGAGGCCCCGGCCCUGGCCACCUGCACAGGAUGAGGGGGCAGGAGAAGGUGUGGGGGCUGGGUCUGAGCGCCCUGCCCCUGGGACCAGUGAGCUGGAGGAGCAGAGCUGGGCGCUCGGGAGCUGGGGGCUGGGCCGGCCAGGCAGGGCCCUGGGGGAAGGGACAGGGGGGGCAGCGCUCUGCAGGGGUCACCUGUGCAAGGCUGGGGGGGGGGGACUGGGAUGCAGUGGGGGCAGAGAAAAGCUAGAGGUGGAAACACCGCAGACAUGAGGGAGAGAGCCCAGGCUCCUCCCCACUCCCUCCACUGAACGCGGCGGGUCUGCAGAUGGACGUUCUGGGCCCAGCCCCAGAGCUGGGGCACGUGAGGUCUGUCCUGGUCACCGCCCAGACCCCGCACCUGGGCUGGCCCCAUCCUGCCGCUCUAGCCGCACGGGGAGCCAAGGUGUGUCCUCCCUCAGGUCCCAGCUGGCCCUGAGGCCUCCUGGGGCGCUCAGGCACCUCCGUGCCCUGCUGCCAAGGCUCAGGCCGAGCUGGGAGGGUGGGCUCCCGUCCCGGGCCGAGGCCCUUCCCCUCACUCCCUGGCGCAGCCUUGGGUCUCAGGGGUCCUCUCAGACAAGGGCUCUGGCCCAGCGGGGUGCCUGUGGAAGGGUCAGCCUGUGACUGACAGCUGACGGAGGAUGACCGACACGGCACAUGCGUGAGCAGGGAAGGCGGCGGGCCUGGAACACCCAGGGGGGGGGGGACAGCCACCUCUGGGGGGCUUGGGGGGGUUCCGGGCCUCCCCUGAGUGGG
rnacentral:lncRNA from 1 species